UCUCUCUCUCUCUCUCUCUCUCUCUCUCUCUCUCUCUGUGUGUGUGUGUGAGAGAGAGAGAGAGAGAGAGAGAGAGAGAGAGAGAGAGA